GAUCAUGGCUCAGGAUGAACGCUAGCUACAGGCUUAACACAUGCAAGUCGAGGGGCAGCAUGGAGUUGCUUGCAAACUCUGAUGGCGACCGGCGCACGGGUGAGUAACGCGUAUCCAACCUUCCCUAUAGUAGAGGAUAGCCCGGCGAAAGUCGGACUAAUACUCUAUGUUUUCCGUUGCAGACAUCUAAGAUGGAACAAAGGCUUGCCGCUAUAGGAUGGGGGAUGCGUCUGGUUAGAUAGUAGGCGGGGUAACGGCCCACCUAGUCGACGAUCAGUAGGGGUUCUGAGAGGAAGGUCCCCCACAUUGGAACUGAGACACGGUCCAAACUCCUACGGGAGGCAGCAGUGAGGAAUAUUGGUCAAUGGGCGAGAGCCUGAACCAGCCAAGUAGCGUGCAGGAUGACGGCCCUAUGGGUUGUAAACUGCUUUUAUAUGGGGAUAAAGUCACCCACGUGUGGGUGUUUGUAGGUACCAUAUGAAUAAGGACCGGCUAAUUCCGUGCCAGCCGCAGC
rnacentral:rRNA from 1 species